rnacentral:rRNA from 1 species
AGAGUUUGAUCCUGGCUCAGAAUCAACGCUGGCGGCGUGCCUCAGACAUGCAAGUCGAACGCGAAAGUUCCCUUCGGGGAGCGAGUAGAGUGGCGCACGGGUGAGUAACACGUAGGUAAUCUACCUUUGGAUGGGGAAUAACAACCGGAAACGGUUGCUAAUACCGCAUAAUGCAGCGGCACCUAAUGGUGACAGUUGUUAAAGCGGGGGAUCGUAAGACCUCGCGUCUGGAGAGGAGCCUGCGGCGGAUUAGCUAGUUGGUAAGGUAACGGCUUACCAAGGCUAUGAUCCGUAGCCGGCCUGAGAGGGCGGUCGGCCACACUGACACUGACAUACGGGUCAGACUCCUACGGGAGGCAGCAGUCGGGAAUUUUGGGCAAUGGGCGAAAGCCUGACCCAGCAACGCCGCGUGAAGGAUGAAAUCCUUCGGGAUGUAAACUUCGCAAGAACGGGAAGAAUAAGCCGGUAUUAACACCACCGGUGAUGACGGUACUGUUUGUAAGCUCCGGCUAACUCCGUGCCAGCCGCCGCGGUAAUAC